AGAGUGCGUAAUAGCUCACUAGUCGAGUGACUCCGCGCCGAAAAUGUACCGGGGCUAAACAGUACACCGAAGCUGUGGAUUCAAUCUUAUGAUUGAGUGGUAGGAGAGCGUUCUAAGGGCGGUGAAGGCAUACCGAAAGGAGUGUUGGAGCGCUUAGAAGUGAGAAUGCCGGUAUGAGUAGCGAAAGACGGGUGAGAAUCCCGUCCACCGAAUAACUAAGGUUUCCUGGGGAAGGCUCGUCCUCCCAGGGUUAGUCGGGACCUAAGGCGAGGCCGAUAGGCGUAGUCGAUGGACAACAGGUUGAUAUUCCUGUACUUCUAUAAAUCGUUUGAGCAAUGGAGGG
rnacentral:rRNA from 1 species